AGUAGACCUUGUAGUUUUUCACACAUCCAAUCAGAACAUGUAGUACAGGAAUGCCUUAUACGAAGCAUCCCAAAGGGGAGUCCCGCCAUUUUAGGUUCUUCUGGGUCAGCUGGCCUACCAGCUGUGGCCGGGUUUAGAGGAGAAGACGGAGUACCCACCCACACUGGAAGCUGGAGUCUGAGCAUCUUGCCUCGCUUCGGUGUUGCGGUUGGUGGCAGUGAGGAAGACUACAGCGCAGCCAGAAAGGAAAACGCUACAAGUGAAUAUCACCACACUCCUGUUGACAACCCAGAGGAGUAUACACGUGGCAGUGAGGAGGAGGAGGUGGCCUCUGACACGGAGAAGCCUGCGGCCCAGUAUCACCACCGUCCUGUUGAGGUCCUACAGGACCUCAUCAUAGAAGACAUUGAAGACGAUGAGAUUCCCCGUGAUGUGGAGAAGCCUGCGGCCCAGUAUCACCACCGUCCUGUUGAGGUCCUACAGGACCUCAUCAUAGAAGACAUAGAGGACGAUGAGAUUCCCCGUGAUGUGGAGAAGCCUGCGGCCCAGUAUCACCACCGUCCUGUUGAGGUCCUACAGGACCUCAUCAUAGAAGACAUUGAAGACGAUGAGAUUCCCCGUGAUGUGGACCCCGUGACAGCCCCAAAAGACAUCUGCCAGUAG
rnacentral:lncRNA from 13 species